rnacentral:misc_RNA from 1 species
GAAAUGCGAUAAGUAAUGUGAAUUGCAGAAUUCAGUGAAUCAUCGAAUCUUUGAACGCACCUUGCGCUCCUUGGUAUUCCUUGGAGCAUGCCUGUUUGAGUAUCAUGAAAUCUUCAAAGUAAAUCUUUUGUUAACUCAAUUGGCUUCUACUUUGGUAUUGGAGGUCUUUGCAGCUUCACACCUGCUCCUCUUUGUUCAUUAGCUGGAUCUCAGUGUUAUGCUUGGUUCCACUCGGCGUGAUAAGUUAUCUAUCGCUGAGGACACUGUAAAAGGUGGCCAAGGUAAAUGCAGAUGAACCGCUUCUAAUAGUCCAUUGACUUGGACAAUACUUUUAUGAUCUGAUCUCAAAUCAGGUAGGACUACCCGCUGAACUUAAGCA